GAGCUCCCAUGGCGCCUGUUUAUCAAAAACAUGGUUUUUUGUGAUUAUAAAAAAUUUAAUCUGCUCACUGCUAUAGGUAAAUAGCCGCAGUAUUUUGACUGUGCUAAGGUAGCAUAAUCAUUUGCCUUUUAAUUGAAGGCUAGUAUGAAUGGUUUGACGUGACAAGAUCUGUCUUCUUAGAAGAAGUUGAAGUUGAUUAAUUGGUAAAAAGGCCACUGUGAUUCUGAAGGACGAUAAGACCCUAUUAAGCUUAAAUUUAGAAUUUUGCUGGGGCGGCAGUUUAAGAUUUAAAUCUUAAACUAGUUGAAUAAAAUGUGAAGACCCAAUAUUAUUGAGUGUAAGAUAAAGCUACUAUAGGGAUAACAGCUUAAUUUUUUUAAUGAGUUCUUAUUUUAAAGAAAGUUUGUGACCUCGAUGUUGAAUUAAGGAUUCUAUUUGGUGAAGCUGCUAAAAUGAGAGAGUCUGUUCGACUCAUAAAUCCUUACGUGAUCUGAGUUCAGACCGGCCAUGGGAGCUCU
rnacentral:rRNA from 1 species